rnacentral:rRNA from 1 species
UACGAGGGGGGGCAAGCGUUGUUCGGAAUUAUUGGGCGUAAAGGGUGCGUAGGCGGUUUUGGUAAGUCUUAUGUGAAAAUCUACAGGCUCAACUUGUAGUCUGCAUGAGAAAACUGCCGGGGCUUGAGUAUGGGAGAGGUGAGUGGAAUUCCCAGUGUAGAGGUGAAAAUUCGUAGAUAUUGGGAAGAACACCGGUGGCGAAGGCGGCGACCUGGUCCAUGACUGACGCUGGGGCGCGAAAGCGUGGGGAGCAAACAGG